CCCACAUUUCCUGAACAACUUGUCAUGGACCAACACUACUGAACAAUGUUUGACCAUAUUCCAAACAUUACCAUGUAUAAAUGAUUAAAUAAAACUGAACAACAAGAUCGUGAUCCAGGGUGCCGUUGUACAAAGCAACCUUGGCGUUACGCCAGUUGUAAGUCUAUGUUAAGGUAUGGGAGCUAAGAUCACCUUAGCACUAAGAUCGCUUUGUAGAACGGCACCCUGAACCACAAACUCCGAUUGAUAGAUAAUAUCAGGGUUCUACCGUGACUUACAAAACUAAGGGUCCUGACAACUCUCAAUAAUUAAAAUCAAGGGUAAAUACAGGAAAUAUCAGGGUCCGGUUAUGAAACAGAGUAGUGUACUGUAUUGUAAGACUAAAUAAAAGCUAAAAUUACAGGAACUGUAUAAUUUGUGUAAGGAAUGUUCACAAGUUCCUACCAGUGUUCCUACGAGCGAACACUUUAACCACUAGGCUACCCCACAGCCCCUAAACCAACAUGAAGUUACCAUGACAAGGUUGACCAGUGUUCCUACGAGCGAACACUUUAACCACUAGGCUACCCCACAGCCCCUAAACCAACAUGAAGUUACCAUGACAAGGUUGACCAG